rnacentral:rRNA from 1 species
GUGGAUUAGAUACCCCGGUAGUCCACGCCCUAAACGAUGUCGACUAGUUGUCGGGGGGUAACACCCUUGGUAACGCGGCUAACGCGUGAAGUCGACCGCCUGGGGAGUACGGUCGCAAGAUUAAAACUCAAAGGAAUUGACGGGGACCCGCACAAGCGGUGGAUGAUGUGGAUUAAUUCGAUGCAACGCGAAAAACCUUACCUACCCUUGACAUGCCAGGAAUCCUGCAGAGAUGCGGGAGUGCCCGCAAGGGAACCUGGACACAGGUGCUGCACGGCCGUCGACAGCU